GAAAAAUGUCCUUUGCAGAAGAACCGAGUGGAUAAACAUAGAAACUUUUCUCCCUUUUUCUCUUCAACCCAAAUCUCGAUCUACAAUUAGUUUUCAUUUUUCUUCGUGUUUAAUCAAUCAAAUUUAUUUUCGAUGUGUUAAUUGAUGUCUGAUUGUUAAAUUUCUGGAUCGGGAUCGAACGAACCUCGAUCAAUCUGUUCCCUUUUGUGUUCAAGGUCAUUUGGUUGGGGUAAAACAUGUCUCAUCAACAAGAGGAUGAUGCUGAUUACAUGGCAAACGAGUAUGACAUGGAAGCUAUGGAUGAUGAUAUGGAUGACGAGUUCCAUGGCCGAGAUGUUGGUGGCUCUGAUUCAGAUGCAGAUGAUUAUGACUUCACGAAUAAUAAAAUGCAAGAUACCUCUGCUGCUGAGGCAAGAAGAGGUAGAGACAUCCAAGGGAUUCCAUGGGAAAGGCUUAGCAUAACCAGGGAGAAAUACAGACAAACGAGAUUAGAGCAGUAUAAGAACUAUGAAAAUAUUCCUCAAUCUGGGGAGGCCUCAGAGAAGGACUGCUUAGCCACGAAGAAAGAAGUUUCAUACUAUGACUUCAGACGUAAUUCAAGAUCUGUUAAAUCAACAAUUUUACAUUUCCAGCUGAGGAAUUUGGUCUGGGCAACCUCCAAGCAUGACGUGUACCUUAUGUCACAUUUUUCCGUCAUUCACUGGUCAUCCUUGACCUGCAGCAAAAGUGAAGUUCUGAAUGUAUCAGGGCAUGUAGCACCAUGCGAGAAACAUCCUGGGAGCCUUUUGGAAGGAUUUACACAAACUCAAGUCAGUACUCUUACAGUGAAAGACAAGUUGCUAGUUGCUGGGGGAUUUCAAGGAGAACUAAUUUGCAAGUAUGUAGACAGGCCUGGAGUUUGCUUCUGUUCCCGGACAACAUAUGACGAUAAUGCUAUUACUAAUGCUGUUGAGAUUUAUAACACCUCCAGUGGUGCACUUCAUUUUAUUGCUUCGAAUAAUGAUUCUGGAGUUAGAGACUUUGAUAUGGAGAAGUUUCAACUGUCCAAGCAUUUCCGUUUUCCAUGGCCAGUGAAUCAUGCAUCACUGAGCCCCGAUGGCAAGCUUAUUGCAAUAGUUGGGGAUAAUCCUGAAGGUUUAUUGGUUGAUUCCAGGAACGCAAAGGUUGUUUCACCUUUGAGCGGACAUAUUGACUACUCAUUUGCGUCAGCAUGGCAUCCUGAUGGCCUAACUUUUGCAACUGGCAACCAGGAUAAAACCUGCAGAGUAUGGGAUAUACGGAACCUGUCUAAAUCAGUUGUUGCUCUGAAGGGUAACCUUGGAGCUAUUCGGUCAAUCCGCUACACAUCUGAUGGAAGAUUCAUGGCAAUGGCAGAACCUGCAGAUUUCGUUCAUGUUUUCGAUGUAAAAAAUGGCUACGAGCAGGAGCAAGAAAUUGAUUUCUUUGGUGAGAUAUCAGGUCUGUCUUUUAGUCCUGAUACAGAGUCCCUUUUUGUCGGAGUCUGGGAUCGCACAUAUGGUAGCCUUCUUGAGUUUGGACGGCGGCACAACUACUCAUACCUUGAUACAAUUAUGUAAACACUCUCUUGAAUGCUGCUUUGGGUAUGUUUACUUGGCUUGAAGUGGCGCUGGCUGAACUUUGUAAAACGAGUAGCAUAGUCAGGAGUUAGUAGUGGAUUUGGCUGUAAAUUGGUCAUGUUGUGCAAUUUAAGUUUGUCACAUAAAUUGUUGUGCACCAUUUCUAAGUAUCAGAAGAUGUAGAAUGGAGGAAUGUAUAAAAGAGGGAGAAACUCCAGUGAUGUGAGCAUGAAAAAGUAGCGUUGUUUCCAUAAGGCAUAGGCCAGAAACUUGAUCUUGUUUUGUGGUGGGGUGGGUAGGGUUCUGUUCAUCAUCACAUCAUGUAUUGGGAUCUUAAAAUCAUCCUGAAAGUUG
rnacentral:misc_RNA from 1 species